rnacentral:rRNA from 1 species
UGCCAGCCGCCGCGGUAAUACAGAGGUCCCAAGCGUUGUUCGGAUUUACUGGGCGUAAAGGGUGCGUAGGUGGUAUGGAUAGUUUGAUGUGAAAGCUCCGAGCUCAACUCGGAAAUUGCAUUGAAUACUACCAAACUUGAGGAUCGGAGGGGAGACUGGAAUUCUUGGUGUAGCAGUGAAAUGCGUAGAUAUCAAGAGGAACACCAGUGGCGAAGGCGAGUCUCUGGACGAUUCCUGACACUGAGGCACGAAGGCUAGGGGAGCAAACAGGAUUAGAUA